UCCAUAUGCAGGGUGCAUGGAGAAGCCUGAA
rnacentral:piRNA from 1 species